rnacentral:rRNA from 1 species
CACACGGCGGGUGCUAACGUCCGUCGUGAAGAGGGAAACAACCCAGACCGCCAGCUAAGGUCCCAAAGUCAUGGUUAAGUGGGAAACGAUGUGGGAAGGCCCAGACAGCCAGGAUGUUGGCUUAGAAGCAGCCAUCAUUUAAAGAAAGCGUAAUAGCUCACUGGUCGAGUCGGCCUGCGCGGAAGAUGUAACGGGGCUAAACCAUGCACCGAAGCUGCGGCAGCGAACGUAUCACCCAAGACAACUUUGCGGAGUUGACGAUUGACGGAGCGAAGCGACGUCAAAGCGUUCAUUAAAGUCGAGUUGGCUUAGGGAUACGUUCGUUGGGUAGGGGAGCGUUCUGUAAGCCAGUGAAGGUGUGUCGUGAGGCAUGCUGGAGGUAUCAGAAGUGCGAAUGCUGACAUAAGUAACGAUAAAGCGGGUGAAAAGCCCGCUCGCCGGAAGACCAAGGGUUCCUGUCCAACGUUAAUCGGGGCAGGGUGAGUCGACCCCUAAGGCGAGGCCGAAAGGCGUAGUCGAUGGGAAACGGGUUAAUAUUCCCGUACUUGGUGUUACUGCGAAGGGGGGACGGAGAAGGCUAUGUUGGCCGGGCGACGGUUGUCCCGGUUUAAGCGUGUAGGUGUGUGUUCUAGGUAAAUCCGGUUCACUUUAACACUGAGGCGUGACGACGAGGCACUACGGUGCUGAAGCAACAAAUGCCCUGCUUCCAGGAAAAGCCUCUAAGCAUCAGGUAACAUCAAAUCGUACCCCAAACCGACACAGGUGGUCAGGUAGAGAAUACCAAGGCGCUUGAGAGAACUCGGGUGAAGGAACUAGGCAAAAUGGUGCCGUAACUUCGGGAGAAGGCACGCUGACACGUAGGUGAAGUGAUUUACUCAUGGAGCUGAAGUCAGUCGAAGAUACCAGCUGGCUGCAACUGUUUAUUAAAAACACAGCACUGUGCAAACACGAAAGUGGACGUAUACGGUGUGACGCCUGCCCGGUGCCGGAAGGUUAAUUGAUGGGGUCAGCGCAAGCGAAGCUCCUGAUCGAAGCCCCGGUAAACGGCGGCCGUAACUAUAACGGUCCUAAGGUAGCGAAAUUCCUUGUCGGGUAAGUUCCGACCUGCACGAAUGGCGUAAUGAUGGCCAGGCUGUCUCCACCCGAGACUCAGUGAAAUUGAACUCGCUGUGAAGAUGCAGUGUACCCGCGGCAAGACGGAAAGACCCCGUGAACCUUUACUAUAGCUUGACACUGAACAUUGAGCCUUGAUGUGUAG